rfam:Picea glauca, whole genome shotgun sequence.
UUUGUUGAAGUCUUGUUGGUUAGAAUACUCGGCUCUCACUCGAGAGACUCAGGUUCAAGUCCUGACACCAUAG